GCUGGAUUUGAACUCAGGUUUUCCUGAUUCCAGACCCUGAGCUCUAUCCACUGCUCCCCCUACCUGCCUCUAGAGAGCUUCCUAUGGCAUUGCUCUGUUGGAUCCUUUAUCCUCCCUGGUAAAUGGGCAUUGAGAAUUGUUUCAGGAGAGGAGAAAGACUCCUUCCAGUGCCUGUUCUGCUGGUACCUCAAGUACCACAAGAACUUGCAUCCCCGUUGCCUGGAACACAGUGGGCUUAUUGAAUGUUUUGAAGAGGUAGUCAACCCUAGUCAAUAAAUCACCACCCUGAUACUUGGUAGUAUACUGAAAUACUGAAAAGCAGACCCAUUCCUCCUCCUCCCCAAAUCCCCCAAUCCAAUCACCCUCUAAAUUUGACAUAGUACCAAUGAUGACCCAGAAGCUGGGAAAUAUGAGAGAGAAAAUUCUGCUGUGGGAUGAAACCUCCAAACCAGGUCAAUAUGAAUUUAAUUAUUAAAUCACCCUGAGUCUCUGCACUUGAAUGUAUGAGGCCAUGGGAAAGAACCCAUACAUUAGAAACCAGCUUUUCAGAAUGAGAAAGUGAAAGUAAAAACAAACCAUAAAACUACCACCAAGAACUCUCGAGUGGAAUUUCUUCUGGCCCUGAGCAAUUCAAUUGGGAGACAGAGAUCAAGGGAAGAGAAAGUAAAUCAGAAGUGGUUUCUCCCUAUCUGAGAGAGAAAUUCCAGAUAUUUCAAGAGGCCAGUGCCUUUCUGGUUAUGGGGACUUGAGGUUUUCCGCUGGAGACUUUUAAAAUUUCUAUUUUUUUUUCAACAUCUGACAACCAACCAACAAACAGAACAAUGCCUUCCUGCUCUUUCUUGCUGUCAUAUAGCCUAGCUUGAAAUAGCCUCUGAAAUGCCCUCCAGCUCCAAGAUUCUUCUAUGAUUCUGUUGGCUUCAUUACUGAGAUUCUUCAUUAAUGGGUAACCCCACCCAGGGAUGCCAAGGUGAAGGACAUUAACCCAGAGACCAGGAGAGGAGGCCACAGAAAUCUGAAAGUUGAGUCCAGGUCGGGUUUUGCUGCCAAUCAUGAAUGCCCUGAAGGGCAGAGGGUGGCCUUUAGGAGAGGCCAUGAGGACUUAGUCCAGAGAAGCUGAGUAGAAGAUUUAUCCUGCAGUCAGGCCACAGCAUCUGGUCAUGAACUCCAAGGGGCCAAUAUCCUGUGGGAACUGUGCUAAGAGUGAGUCUACUUUCCUUAGAGACUGAGAUAGUGAAGUGGAGAAUAUGCCGCUAAGGUAUCGGGGAAAAUGUUUGUACUGUGUUAUUGAAGUAAACACCCUUUUAAAAAACUAA